UAUAUGAAUCAUCUUCUUCCAUUCUUUACUAUUAUAAGCCAUAUUUCUCUUAUAUUUAUUUUUUUAAUUAGGGAACCAAAACAAUUUGCAGAAAUACAUCCUAAAAUAAAUUACAAUAUUGAUGUCAAUCAUUGCUUAUACUCAAAGGGCUUCACAAUAAAUCUUCUAACAUACAAGUAUAUUCAAGAAACCCUUUGUAGCAUCAAAACAACAAUCAAUGUAGGAUAGAUACUACACAAAAGGUUUAGGGUAAAUUACAGCAUGGCUUCGGCCAAAAUGGUGGAAGACGAGGUGAUUGAUGUCGUCUCCAUAGUAAGGAAAGUCUUAGACGGUGGCGGAAGGAUAAUCGUGUGCCCGACAGAGGUGGCGCGUGAAGGAGUAGCGCGUCAGCAUAACGAUUUGGCACCUAUCGUUGCCAUUCAUUACUGCAAGCACUGGUCCAAGCCAAGUUUUAGGGUUUGAAUGGUUUUUCUACCAAUGGAAAGGGCUCGUAAAUGGAGCUUUGGAGCUGUUGCCUUUCUAAUGGUCUAACUUUUAUGUUACUCCCUUUAAUACUCAUGUGGUGGCUUGGCUAUGUUAUUCUUCUCAGCAAAUUUGAAACCUGGCCUUCUUUUUUCUUCAGGUUUUAUUUGCCAUUUCAUGGCUUGCCUUUAUUACAUCUGUAGUGUCAUUUAUGGAUGUGUUGUGUAGAUACCGUAUAGCUGUUCUCUUAUUACCAUGAUUAAAAAUAAGAGGAAUGCUAGUGAUUGUCCUUU